CAGUCGCCGCGGUAAUACGUAGGUGGCAAGCGUUGUCCGGGAUUAUUGGGCGUAAAGGGCUCGCAGGCGGUUUCUUAAGUCUGAUGUGAAAGCCCCCGGCUCAACCGGGGAGGGUCAUUGGAAACUGGGAAACUUGAGUGCAGAAGAGGAGAGUGGAAUUCCACGUGUAGCGGUGAAAUGCGUAGAGAUGUGGAGGAACACCAGUGGCGAAGGCGACUCUCUGGUCUGUAACUGACGCUGAGGAGCGAAAGCGUGGGGAGCGAACAGGAUUAGAUACCCGUGUAGUCCCUGUCUCUUAUAA
rnacentral:rRNA from 1 species